AAAAAACAGAAAAAAAACCAACUUUUGCUAACGGUGUCAAAACAUAAAACGAAAACGGCGCUGUUUUUGACACCUGCGCGCACAAAACACACACCGGCACUCACACAGGUUUUGCCAAGUGCAAAGAUGGCGCCCGGAAAUGAGAAAAUAAAGUGAAGCGGGUGAAAUGAUGACUGGCAAGUGAUAAAAACACAGCCAAGAAGCAUUUUCUAUCUUUCGUUUCUUUUUUGGCCAAAAAAUUUCAACCAUUACUUUUUAAUGGCCACAUCGGCGAAUAGCCAUGCCCAAGGCAUGUCCUUCUAAUUUGCAUGCAAAGGUCGUUCAUGGAACAUUUGGAGUGGGAAAUAAAAGGAAAGGAUUCUCUACAUAUCUAGGUACAUGCUGCACUUCAAAACAUUGCCUGAUAAUAUUCUUUAUUGAUAAUGUCACAAAAAAUGAUGUCCAGCAAAAUGAAUAAAUUUUUGAAAUUAAAAUUUAA